ensembl:lncRNA
CGGGCGGGGAGGUGCGCGGCGGGGCCGGGCGCGGAGCUCGGCUCCCCAGACAAUAGGGGACGGCGGGGCUCGGAGAGGAGGGACCCGGUGCAACGCAUCCAGCGCGCCGUGUUCCGCGAGCAGACAUAAAUCUCUCACGACGCUCUCCCAAACAGGCCAAGGGUAGUUCACAUAGAGGGCUGGCUUCGCACACGCUCACCCCGCUCCUCGUAUUCUUUGGAUGGAGGAAGGCUGGCAGCAAGGUGCACAGACAAAAGACCGGGGAGCCAACGCACGCAAUCACUCGCUGCUACAUCUUCACGUAUUUUUACAAUACGCUCUCCUAUCCACACCGCUUCCAAAAUAAUUUUCAGCCAGCCCUGCCUCUCGUCGCACGUAAACUUACGCCGUCACAGGAAUUCUGUUGACUCUCAUGAUGACAUAUGAAAGUGGCAAAACGAGGUUUUGCGCCCGGAUUUCGCCUUCAGACAAAGCUCCCCCAGCAACUUCAUCAGCAGGGAAUUAUAGUUUCACCCGGAGAAACUGGGUCCAAGGGAAAAAGAAAAUAAAAGUUAAGUGG